UUCGGCUGGCUAGCACACAGGUGCUGCAUGGCUGUCGUCAGCUCGCGUCGUGAGAUGUCGGGUUAAGUCCCGCAACGAGCGCAACCCUCGUCUUUAGUUGCCAUCAUUCAGUUGGGCACUCUAAAGAAACCGCCGGUGAUAAGCCGGAGGAAGGUGGGGAUGACGUCAAGUCCUCAUGGCCCUUACACGCUGGGCUACACACGUGCUACAAUGGCGGUGACAGUGAGCAGCUAGAUCGCGAGAUCAUGCUAAUCUCAAAAAGCCGUCUCAGUUCGGAUUGUUCUCUGCAACUCGAGAGCAUGAAGGCGGAAUCGCUAGUAAUCGCGGAUCAGCAUGCCGCGGUGAAUACGUUCCCAGGCCUUGUACACACCGCCCGUCACACCAUGGUAGUUGGAUUCACCCGA
rnacentral:rRNA from 2 species